rnacentral:rRNA from 1 species
GACGAACGCUGGCGGCGUGCUUAACACAUGCAAGUCGAACGGAAAGGCCCUGCUUUUGUGGGGUGCUCGAGUGGCGAACGGGUGAGUAACACGUGAGUAACCUGCCCUUGACUUUGGGAUAACUUCAGGAAACUGGGGCUAAUACCGGAUAGGAGCUCCUGCUGCAUGGUGGGGGUUGGAAAGUUUCGGCGGUUGGGGAUGGACUCGCGGCUUAUCAGCUUGUUGGUGGGGUAGUGGCUUACCAAGGCUUUGACGGGUAGCCGGCCUGAGAGGGUGACCGGCCACAUGGGGACUGAGAUACGGCCCAGACUCCUACGGGAGGCAGCAGUGGGGAAUAUUGCACAAUGGGCGGAAGCCGGAUGAAGAAACGCCGGGUGCGGGAUGACGGCCUUCGGGUUGUAAACCGCUUUCGCCUGUGACGAAGCGUGAGUGACGGUAAUGGGUAAAGAAGCACGGGUUAACUACGU